UGGCUCAGGAUGAACGCUGGCGGCGUGCCUAAUACAUGCAAGUCGAACGAGUUCUCGUUGAUGAUCGGUGCUUGCACCGAGAUUCAACAUGGAACGAGUGGCGGACGGGUGAGUAACACGUGGGUAACCUGCCCUUAAGUGGGGGAUAACAUUUGGAAACAGAUGCUAAUACCGCAUAGAUCCAAGAACCGCAUGGUUCUUGGCUGAAAGAUGGCGUAAGCUAUCGCUUUUGGAUGGACCCGCGGCGUAUUAGCUAGUUGGUGAGGUAAUGGCUCACCAAGGCGAUGAUACGUAGCCGAACUGAGAGGUUGAUCGGCCACAUUGGGACUGAGACACGGCCCAAACUCCUACGGGAGGCAGCAGUAGGGAAUCUUCCACAAUGGACGCAAGUCUGAUGGAGCAACGCCGCGUGAGUGAAGAAGGCUUUCGGGUCGUAAAACUCUGUUGUUGGAGAAGAAUGGUCGGCAGAGUAACUGUUGUCGGCGUGACGGUAUCCAACCAGAAAGCCACGGCUAACUACGUGCCAGCAGCCGCGGUAAUACGUAGGUGGCAAGCGUUAUCCGGAUUUAUUGGGCGUAAAGCGAGCGCAGGCGGUUUUUUAAGUCUGAUGUGAAAGCCCUCGGCUUAACCGAGGAAGCGCAUCGGAAACUGGGAAACUUGAGUGCAGAAGAGGACAGUGGAACUCCAUGUGUAGCGGUGAAAUGCGUAGAUAUAUGGAAGAACACCAGUGGCGAAGGCGGCUGUCUGGUCUGUAACUGACGCU
rnacentral:rRNA from 1 species